rnacentral:lncRNA from 10 species
CGAUCUUGGCUCACUGCAACCUCCACUUCCUGGACUGAAACAAUUCUCCUGCCUCAGCCUCCUGAGUAGCUGGGAUUACAGGCACGCAUCAUCACUCUCGGCUAAUUUUUGUAUUUUUAAUACAGAUGGUGUUUCACCAUGUUGGCCAGGCUGGUCUUGAACUCCUGGCCUCAGGUCAUCUGCCUGCCUUGGCCUUCUAAAGUGCUGGGAUUACAGGUGUGAGGCACCACGUCCCGCUGGGAGAAUAAUGUUAUUUAAAGUUAGAUGUUGAUUAAUUAAUAAUGCAUAUUGUAAACCUUAGGGCAACCACCAAUAAAAUGUGUAAACAUGGGCAUAAGUAAUAGGUUGAUAAAAGAGAUAAAAUGAAACAAUGAAAACAAUAAGCACAAAUCAGAAAAAGAAGAAAAAAGAAACAAAGACAAAUGGAACAACUUGAAAAGAGCUAGGAGGAUGGUAGAUUUUAAUCCAAAGAGAUCAACUGUAAUAUUAAGUGUGAAUGGUUUAUACAUACAAAUUAAAAGGCAAAGAUGGUCAGAUUGGAUUAAAAAAGAAAAAACUAUAAGCUCUUUUUGAGAAAUCCAACUUAAAU